UCUUUCCAAAAUUAGUUUGGCUGCCCAGGAUUAGAUCACCCAAAUCGUUCCUUCCUCUUUCACAGACUUCAUUCACAAAUCGCUCUCUUCCCCUUCUUCUUUAUACAAAUCACUCUCUUUCCCUCCAUAGACUUCCUUUGAUCAUUCCAACAUCUCCAUAGGCGUCGUUCGAGCAUCUUCUUAUGCAUUAAUUACAUCAUUUCUCCAUAGUCAUUCCUUAUAGUAUCUCCUUGUCCUUAGACAUUUGAGCAACAAUCCAUCUCCAACUUCUCCUCCAUUGUUACUCACUUGGCAAAUUUCUUACUCCUUCAUAAAUCUCCCUUGUUUUGAAUGAUUUUAGUCAGUCGACACUUAAACGCUUUUGCUUUUUUAGCUAGGGCUUUGUUUUUGCCAACAUUGCCUUCUAGGAUUUUUUUAUCUCUUCUUUUCUCCAUGCUUUUCCAUUUGAAAGUAAUCAUGCAUUUGGAUUCCAUAAAUCAAUAAUUAGUGAAUUCGUCAGAAAAAAGGUCGAGAGAUUGCACCAAAGACAUCAAGAGAGGAAGAGAGGUAAUUUGAAUUGUUGGAAUGGAUUUGGAGGAAGAAUUUCUGCAAAUCAAUUUACACAAAGAUUCUCACUUCUCUAUGAAUCUGAAUCGGAAAGGGUUUUUCUUUUUCCAAAAAAUUCUUAAAGGCCUGAAAAUAAGGUAAUUUGAUAAAGUCUUUGUCUUGCAAAUGAUGGAGCUUUAUAUUUCGAGGAAAAAUUUGUUGAUGCAUACGAACAUCAUGGGCCUCUUGCAACCACAUCUUCAGUCGUUCGAGGGUUGAUAGCAUUUACUGGCGUUACUUCUGGAAGCUUAAAUGUGAGUGAAGACAUAAAUUAGCAUUUUAGUUCCUUAAUUUAUCAUAUAUCAAUUUGGUUUUCAUCUAAAGCUUCCUAGGGAUACAAUUUUUGGUCUGGCAAAAUUCUUCCUUGGCAUUGGAAUUCCUGAUGAUGCGAAAGACUUAUUCAACCAAAUAGAUUCCUUGGCUUGCUUAGAAGCAAAUAGGGUUUCUAUUUCGUUGAUUUUAUCUCUUCCAACAACUGUUCUUUUGUUGACAAAGGAAGACCAAGUGAAGGUGAAGGAAAUCUAAAUAUAGAUAUCCAGUGAGCGGAAGCGGAUCAUUCCAAAUCCCGUUGAGAAAGAACACAAAUAGUUACAGUCUAAAUGGAAACGAUUAUGCAUAAAUAGAAAAUUGCUUCUUUAAAAGACUGAACAUGGGAUAGAGUAUGCAAACCUUUGAAGAACUCUUCAAGUAUCCCUCGAUCAUUCAGCAACUCGUUCAACAGCACGAACUCGAAUGCAAUGAUCAGAACUCGAUCUCAACGAACGUCUGAAUGAACCUCGAUCCCAAUCGAGUCCAACUCGAUCCUUGAACAGAAUUAGAAUAUCACCACAAUGGUUGCCUUGGUAUUCUCGAUGUGAGAAUCCAGAAGUUGUGGGCUAUGUAUGAUUUUGGAUUGAGGAAAGCAGGAGAUAGAUGAUCGAGUAAGUGGGAGAUGAAGUCUAUAGUAUAAACUAGAUACUUUAUCGUUUAGAAAGACGAAGCCUAUCAUAUAGACUUUAAUACUCGAUUGUGUAGCAACGAGUGAACGAGUAACUAUCGUAUAGUUAACUCGUAGCUCGAUCAUGUAUGCUCUCUAUGUUAUCGAUUAGUAAAACACUUUUACUUGAUAGCCUUU